GAUGAACGCUGGCGGCGUGCCUAAUACAUGCAAGUCGAGCGAACGGACGAGACGCUGGCUUCUCUGAUGUUAGCAGCGGACGGGUGAGUAACACGUGGAUAACCUACCUAUAAGACUUGGAUAACUUCGGGAAACCGUAGCUAAUACCGGAAAAUAUUUUGCACCGCAUGGUUCCAAAGUGAAAGACGCUAUUGGUGGCACUAAUGGAUUGACCCGCGCUGCAUUAUCUGGUUGGUAAGGUAACGGGUUAGCAAGGCAACGAUGCAUAGCCGACCUGAGGGGGUGGUCGGCCACACUGGAACUGAGACACGGCCCAGACUCCUACGGGGGGCAGCAGUAGGGAAUCUUCCGCAAUGGGCGAAAGCCUGACGGAGCAACGCCGCGUGAGUGAUGAAGGUCUUCGGAUCGGAAAGCUCUGUUAUUAGGGAAGAAGAUAUGUGUAAGUAACUGUGCACAUCUUGACGGUACCUAAUGAGAAAGCCACGGCUAACUACGUG
rnacentral:rRNA from 1 species